UACGGGGGGGGCAAGCGUUGUUCGGAAUUACUGGGCGUAAAGGGCUCGUAGGUGGCCAACUAAGUCAUACGUGAAAUCCCUCGGCUUAACCGGGGAACUGCGUCUGAUACUGGAUGGCUUGAGUUUGGGAGAGGGAUGCGGAAUUCCAGGUGUAGCGGUGAAAUGCGUAGAUAUCUGGAGGAACACCGGUGGCGAAGGCGGCAUCCUGGACCAAUACUGACACUGAGGCACGAAAGCGUGGGGAGCAAACAGG
rnacentral:rRNA from 1 species